CGGGUGAGUAACACGUGGGUGACCUGCCCCAGGCUCUGGGAUAACCCCGGGAAACCGGGGCUAAUACCGGAUACCCUGCUCGGACCGCAUGAUCCGAUCAGGAAAGCUCCGGCGGCCUGGGAGGGGCCCGCGGCCUAUCAGCUUGUUGGUGAGGUAACGGCUCACCAAGGCGACAACGGGUAGCUGGCGUGAGAGCGUGGCCAGCCACACUGGGACUGAGACACGGCCCAGACUCCUACGGGAGGCAGCAGUGGGGAAUCUUGCGCAAUGCGCGAAAGCGUGACGCAGCAACGCCGCGUGGGGGAAGAAGGCCUUCGGGUUGUAAACCCCUUUCAGGAGGGACGAAGCCCGAGGAGUGAACAGCCGACUCGGGUGACGG
rnacentral:rRNA from 1 species